GGACACAACUGAGCUGAACUGAACUGAACUCCCAUACUUCAAGGUUCUAGAAGUUAUUCAGGUUUGUACGGAUGUGAGAGUUGGACCAUAAAGAAGGCUGAGUGCAGAAGAAUUGAUGCUUCAAGUUGUGUUGGAGAAGACUCUUUGAGUGUCCCUUGGACUGCAGGAAAAUCAAACCAGUCAAUCUUAAAGGAAAUCAACCUUGAACAUUCAUUGGAAGGACUGAUGCUGAAACUGAAGCUCCAAUACUUUGGGCACCUGAUGUGAAGAGUCAACUUGUUGGAAAAGACCCUGAUGCUGGGAAAGAUUGAGGGCAAUAUGAGAAGGGGGAAACCGAGGAUAAGAUGGUUGGAUGGCAUCACCGACUCGGAGGACAUGAGUUUGAGCAAACUCCAGGAGAUAGUGAAGGACAGUGAUGCUUGGUGAGCUGCUGAUCCUGGAGUUACAAAGAAUCAGACACGACUUGGUGACUAAAUAGCAACAACAAUUUAAGUUUACGAGGCAUGUAGGAGCUUAGUUCCCAGACCAGGGAUGGAACCCGUGUCCACAUUAGAAGGCCAAUGGCUCUGGUAUCCUGGCCCGACCUUCUAUCCUCUGUGACUGGAUGGUAUCUGAUGCUACAUUUCAGCAGUUCUAUUGUUUGGGGAAUUCUCGCAGAGGUAGCAAAUAAACCCUCAGAUUUCAGGUCCUCAACACUGAUGUUUAUAUCCUGUUCAGGGUGGUGGACAACUCCCCUCGGGUGCUGAUUUGAGGAGCUAGACUCCUUCUAGCUACAGCUCUCCCACACGCCGGGGCCUUGGAGACCUUUGCACAAGCUAGAGGGUGAGGGAGAGGGUACAUUUCACCCUGUGAGCCUGAAAUCGCUUCUACUCCAUUUCCUUGAGCUGGGAGAUAUAAUCCCACCGAGGCUUCUAUAAUGCGGACAGGAGAACGUGGGUGCUACUGGACACUUAAGUUUCUCUAUCACAGUGAUGGGCUGACCUUCCGAAGCCUCAAUUUCCU
ensembl:lncRNA